rnacentral:rRNA from 2 species
UAAGCGGAGGAAAAGAAACUAACAAGGAUUCCCCUAGUAACGGCGAGUGAAGCGGGAAGAGCUCAAAUUUGUAAUCUGGCACUUUCAGUGUCCGAGUUGUAAUCUCGAGAAGUGUUUUCCGCGCUGGACCGCAUACAAGUCUGUUGGAAUACAGCGUCAUAGUGGUGAGAACCCCGUAACUGAUGCGGACGCCCAGUGCUUUGUGAUACACUUUCGAAGAGUCGAGUUGUUUGGGAAUGCAGCUCAAAUUGGGUGGUAAAUUCCAUCUAAAGCUAAAUAUUGGCGAGAGACCGAUAGCGAACAAGUACCGUGAGGGAAAGAUGAAAAGCACUUUGGAAAGAGAGUUAACAGUACGUGAAAUUGUUGGAAGGGAAACGCUUGAAGUCAGACUUGCUUUUUGGAAUUCAGCCGCAAGGUGUACUUUUCAAUUUGGCAGGCCAGCAUCAGUUUUUGGGGGUGAAAAAGGGUAUAGAGAAGGUAGCAGUCUCGGCUGUGUUAUAGCUCUUUACUGGAUUCAUCCUUGGGGACUGAGGAACGCAGCACACUUUUUGCACGGUCUUCGGAUCUGUUCUGUGCUUAGGAUGCCUGGUGGAAUGGCUUUAAACGACCCGUCUUGAAACACG